GAAUUGGCAUUACUGCUCAUUAAAAAUGGCGUCGUCAGAGUGUUUACAACGAAAUAAAAUUUUUCAGUAUUUCUGUAAUCGUAACGUUAAUUCUACAUAUUUUUUUUUGAUAAUUAAGUACUGUUUUAUAUAAAUAAUCAAUAAUUGAUAAAAGUUUUGUGGAAGGCAAGAAAAAAAUUAGUAUAUUCAGAUAAAAGUUUUUGACACGAAAACAUAACCUAAAAAGUUUAACAUCGAAAUGUUAAACAAAAAAAUAGGGAAUUUUUUUUGUCACCUCCAUGACGUGUACAACAAGCGAUGAGCAACCAAGAAAGACCAACAGCCCAUAUUGUUCUACUGAGUCCAACAUAAAAUGCCGCCGACAAUAUGGAAAUAUAUCUUUUCCAAAUUCCAAAAAGUACAAAGAGAUUACAAGAACUUCCUAGCAUCCAACAAAGGGCAACAGUUCUCUAAAAAAAAGGGAAUUUUUUUUUUAUCAAAAUUUCUCCCAAAUGGCCAACAAUCUAAGAGUGAAGAGAAUUUACUGUUUUUAAAGAUCACCAAUAAAAAGUGUUCGUUCCCGAAACGUUUUAUUCAAAAUUAAUCCAAUUUCCAUCAUGCUACAAGUGGCCGGCAAACACAAACCAAGUGUGAUUAUAUUCUGAAAAAAUAAUGAAGAAAACAAGAUCGGGAAAUUUUUAUGAUCAGACUAACAUUGAAAGAAACCAUCAAAAACAACAACAACAGGGACAAUUUUUAUAAAAAAGUUUGCUUACCUAAUAUGACCACUAUCACCACUACUACUUUGUCUACUGUGCUGGCUAUGAGAAUUUAAGGAUCCAUAGCCGGAUCCUUUGCUGAGCUGACUCGUGUUACUGCUAUUUCUCGAGUGUCCAGAUUCUGCUUGUGUUUCCGUUGAAGCAUCUACUGGAAGAACUGAAGGAAUUACCUCGCUCAAUGUCAUUGGAUCGUACAACUCCGUCCCGCUUAGUGUAUAAAAAAUUGAAGAAAAACGAAAAGAAAAAAACUAAACGGUAAAAAAUGGAAAGAAAAAUUAAAAAAAAAAAAAAAACGAAAUAGAAAGAUGACCUGAAGAGAAGAGUGCCGGCCUCUUCUUAGGAAGACUGCC